rnacentral:rRNA from 1 species
AGUUCGAUCAUGGCUCAGAUUGAACGCUGGCGGGAUGCUUUACACAUGCAAGUCGAACGGCAGCCUGGACUUCGGUCUGGUGGCGAGUGGCGAACGGGUGAGUAAUGUAUCAGGAACGUGCCUAGUAGCGGGGGAUAACUACGCGAAAGCGUAGCUAAUGCCACAUACGCCCUUCGGGGAAAGCGGGGACCUUCGGGCCUCGCACUAUUAAAGCGGCCGAUAUCGGAUUAGCUAGUUGGUGGGGUAACGGCUCACGCAAGGCGACGAUCCGUAGCUGGUUUUGAGGGACGACCAGCCACACUGGGACUGAGACACGGCCCAGACUCCUACAGGGAGAGCAGCAGUGGGGAAUUUUUGGACAAUGGAAGCUGAUCCAGCCAUCCCGCGUGUGCGAUGAAGGCCUUCGGGUUGUAAAGCACUUUUUGGCAGGAAAGAAACGGCACGGGAUAAUACCCCGUGCAACUGACGGUACCUGCAGAAUAAGCACCGGCUAACUACGUGCCAGCAGCCGCGGUAAUACGUAGGGUGCAAGCGUUAAUCGGAAUUACUGGGCGUAAAGCGUGCGCAGGCGGUUCGGAAAGAAAGAUGUGAAAUCCCAGAGCUUAACUUUGGAACUGCAUUUUUAACUACCGAGCUAGAGUGUGUCAGAGGGAGGUGGAAUUCCGCGUGUAGCAGUGAAAUGCGUAGAUAUGCGGAGGAACACCGAUGGCGAGGCAGCCUCCUGGGAUAACACUGACGCUCAUGCACGAAAGCGUGGGGAGCAAACAGAAGUUAGAUACCCUGGUAGUCCACGCCCUAAACGUCAACUAGCUGUUGGGGCCUUCGGGCCUUGGUAGCGCAGCUAACGCGUGAAGUUGACCGCCUGGGAAGUACGGUCGCAAGAUUAAAACUCAAAGGAAUUGACAGGGACCCGCACAAGCGGUGGAUGAUGUGGAUUAAUUCGAUGCAACGCGAAAAACCUUACCUACCCUUGACAUGUCUGGAAUCCCGAAGAGAUUUGGGAGUGCUCGCAAAGAGAACCGGAACACAGGUGCUGCAUGGCUGUCGUCAGCUCGUGUCGUGAGAUGUUGGGUUAAGUCCACAACGAGCGCAACCCUUGUCAUUAGUUGCUACGAAAGGGCACUCUAAUGAGACUGCCGGUGACAAACCGGAGGAAGGUGGGGAUGACGUCAAGUCCUCAUGGCCCUUAUGGGUAGGGCUUCACACGUCAUACAAUGGUCGGGACAGAGGGUCGCCAACCCGCGAGGGCCAAUCCCAGAAACCCGAUCGUAGUCCGGAUCGCAGUCUGCAACUCGACUGCGUGAAGUCGGAAUCGCUAGUAAUCGCGGAUCAGCAUGUCGCGGUGAAUACGUUCCCGGGUCUUAUUACGCACCGCCCGUCACACCAUGGGAGUGGGUUUUACCAGAAGUAGUUAGCCCUAACCGUAAGGAGGGCGAUUACCACGGUAGGAUUCAUGACUGGGGUGAAGUCGUAACAAAGGUAG